CCUUGCAAUCCUGAGGUCAGGAGCACCUUCAACUGAUGGAGGAACUGAGGCUCCAUGAGGUUCCUGACUUGUUGGAAACCCAAGGCCAAGGAAGACAGCAGGUGCCAUGGACAGGCAAUCAGCCUCCUGAGGCCACUGCUAAGUGUGAACACUACAGACCUCACAGUGACCAUAGCUGCUUCCUGGACCGUUGUGCUGACUACAGUCGGUGCCGCAGGUCCAGAUUGUCCUCCAGUUCUGUGGAUGACCUGGAACUCUUUCUUGGUCCUUCUGCCUUCACAUCCUGAGUGUUGGGAUCACAGGUGUGUCUCAGCUGUGAUUUUGGGGAUGGAAGCCAGGCUUUGAGCAUGCUAAGGAAGUCCUCUAGUCAUGGAGCCGACAUCUGCCAUCUGGCAUUUUCACUGAAUAGCGGGUACUCCAGUCACUUCUGUCGUUGUUACUUCAACCACUGCUGUCUUCCCAGCUUCAGCAUCACUGCUACUCCCAAACAUCCCUCUCCUUCCCUCGCCUCACUCGGGCCCAGGCUAUUUCCUCAAACCCCGUUUUAGGGAGAGAGGCCUGUCUGACAGAAAAUAAAGCUGCAUUAAUUUGAUCAAAGAGUUUGGGUGACGGCUUUUACUCUCAUUUGGUGGGAUUAACAGCAGGAAGUGAAGUGGAAGCCAUGGAGGAGAUCUGCUUAUUGACCGGCUCAGCCUACUUUCUGAAGCCACCGGGACAGUGAGCUGAGCCUGCCCACGUCAAUCGUUAACCAAGAAACAUACUACAGACCCGCCA